GACAGAGGUGCCGAGCGUUAGGCGGAAUCACUGGGCUUAAAGCGUGUGUAGGCGGGUCGUUAAGUACCUUGUGAAAUCCCACGGCUCACCCGUGGAACUGCUGGGCAUACUGGGCGUCUUGGGCCAACUAGGGGCAGCCGGAACAAGCGGUGGAGCGGUGAAAUGCGUAGAUAUCGCUUGGAACGCCGAAGGUGAAAACAGGCUGCUGGGGUUGCGCCGACGCUGAGACACGAAAGCCAGGGGAGCAAACGGG
rnacentral:rRNA from 1 species